GGAGGGUACAGCUCAAGUGGUAGAGCACAUGCUUAGCAUGCACAAGGUCCUGGGUUCAAUCCCCAGCUCCUCCU
rnacentral:tRNA from 1 species